CUGACACUCAAAGCACGUAAGCAACAUGAAACUAGUGUAUGGUGUGACCGUGAUUUAAAUCUAGGUCCAGCCGAUUCCAGGGCUCACGAACUGAACCAAUAUACCACACCCACUCAAAGCCAGGAGCGGACGGAAGGGCUGGGGUACUGGGCGUGAGCUAAGGAGGUUGUCAUCUUCGUCUAGCACAGAAACUCUUAGUAAAGGGGUUUUAUCUGAAUUUCUCUAGCUAGAAAUGAGAAAAAGCAAGGUGUAUUUUCAUAAAGCCGGGUACACAAAUCAUCCUACAGUAGCAGCACUUAAAUUUAUGAAGUUGAUGUGUAGUAAUUUAGAGGACUUGUGUAUUUUGCUGUCAUUGCUGUUUAUCUUCCCCAACAAAGGGCAGACUCAUGAAACCAUCCUAAAUUGACAAUGUUUGGCCAAAUUUUGCAUCCUCCUACCACAGUCAAAUGUCUCAAUUUAAUUUCAAACUAGAAUUUUUAAAUGUUACUUUUUAAUGCUUCUCCUUUACUGUUGACACAGACUACGUUAUGCUCAUUCUCCACCUGUUUCCUUAUUCACUGUCACUCAAGGCAGGUGACAUGUACAGUGCAGCAUGUCAUUUGGUCUUAUGGUCAGAUAAGCAGCAAUUAUGAGCAGUAGACUUUAACCAAAUCUGCUGAACAACCAGGUCAGAUUAUGUGGGUCAGGGCAAGGGAUGGAGGAAAUACUGAGUGUAUCUGAUAAAAGUAUAACCUAGAAGUCACAUUAGGUGAAAAAAGAAGGACUCCACUGAGUGGGACAAAUUUUAAAAGACAGCAUUAAAUCCAGAACCCUUAACUUUCAGAUAAAAAUGCUAAGAGGGUAGAGGAAAUAAAGCAAAAUCAAGGCAGGACCAGCUGCCCUGAUUCUAGGUCAGAUACCUGAGCUUUCAAGGCUGUAGGUAAAUCCCACUAGGCAACAGUAAAUUCCUCCACCUCCAGGAGAAUGUCCCUUUACCCUGAAAAAUAGCCCAAACUUGUCCAAAAGGAAGAGGUUUGGAUUCAUACCCCAAAAGUGAAACUAGACACAAGUGAGUUCAUUAGUACUUUGUUUUUCUAAACCAGCCAAGUAUUCGAUCCAGAAUAUCAAAUCAUGCCCAUCAUUUAUUGCAACUAGAACUGUUUCCCAGCUACAAAAUGCUUUAGGUUGAAGCUUCCGGGUUGGAAGCUUGGACUUUGGUGGGUGACCAAGAUAAAUAGGGAGGGUGGACAUGACUUGUCUCCGCCUAGGACUCUGCACACACCCAACUGGCCCAGCCUCCCAUCACUCCUAGACCAUCUAUGCUUUUCUACCAUGUUUUUGAACUCACAGACGCCAUCUGUAGAAUCUCUCUACCCUCAAACACUUCUGAGUGGCCCCUGCUCUCUGUGCUUCCCAAUAGCCCCUGCGUGCGCAUGGCUACACAUGGAUCCUUCUCAAGUGAAUGACACUUUUCCCACAUUCAAGGUAUCACAAAGCCUGGAGAUGAUAUAAGCAUCCUUGUUUCUCAUUCUCACAUAGAAAACCAGAGCAGAGGAUUUAACCAGGGCAGAGGAUUCCACAGGAUUCAACUCUGUAAGGAAUGUGCCCUUGAACUCUGGCAGUGUCCACUACCUCUUCAUUUGGCAUCAUCCAUCACCUUCCCACCACUCGCCCUUGUUCUUUGAAGAUGCGAAGCUCCUGGUUUCCUGUGUUCCUCUCCAGCACAGUCGCCACCAUCAACCUCACAGUUGCCCCCAUCAACCUUGGUGCAGCUACAACCAAAUAUGCUAGCCAGCCGAGACCUCGACCUCUCAGGUCCUCAACUUCCUCAUCACCAAGGAUCACUUCCUGUCUCUGGAAUCUUUGCUUCCAGCAUUCAUUCUCAGAUCACUGCUUUCUAGCUCUUUCACCUCAUGAAUCCUGCAGCCUCACCAGAAAUCCAACCUCCUGUCACCACGGUCUCAUGGCCCAGCAGCACCUACCUCAUCCACACGUGACCAUCACUCCCUGCAAACACUAUACCUGUCUUGCCCCCUUUUUUAUUUAUCUUAGUAUGAGGCAAAGCUUGGAUGUGGCUAAAACCAAAUCUCCAUCUGCCUAGCAGCUGCACACAGGCCAUUGAAAACAGAUUAACACACAAGAGUGCUGACUGGUUUCAACUUUAGCUCCUGAUGGGAGCUAUAGAGCUCCUCCCGGCAAUAGAGCCAAAAGUCUGCGUUAUCUGGGUGAAUCAGCUCAGGUGAGUGAGAGUGAAAGGGAAACAGGAAAUAAUCAUGAAAAUAGGGGCCAGAGACACACCCACAGGUGAUAAGACUGUGUCUGGAAACCAGCCAGUGUCUUUCCAGAACGUGCAUUUCUCCUAAAACUGCUGUCUAACUUUCAGGUUCAUCCAGUAUUUUAACGCAAUGUUUCUCGGUGACAUGGCCUGUUCCUAGUACGUGACUAUAAAGACCUGAGUCCUCGCUGUCCUAUGUGCUGUUUCCCACAAAAAGAAAUGGGGUGAGAAGUUCUGAAAUAACUCCACCCAGAUGGUUAAAGCAAUACAGAGUUGUACAAAAUUAAACGCACCUUAAAAUAACCCGCUGGAACAAAUUUACCCAGAAGUGGGACUGCUGGAUCAGAUGGUGGUUCUAUUCUUAAUUUCUUGAGGUAUUGAUAGGGAACUCAAGAGUUGGAAAAUUUUAGUCUAAGUAAUAGCUAAUAAGCUUAGCAAUCAAUGCACAUAAAAGCUAGUGUUCCAGGAACUGAAGGUGUGACCUACCCUGACUCCAGGAGUCCAUAAGCAGUUCCACCUUUGUGCCUCAGGAGGACUGUGAGCAAUUCAAGAUGGUAUCUGAGCCACUGUACUGACGACCACUCAGGACACAGCUAAAGACCACCACCCAGGGCCCAGGGUGAGAAUACUACAGUUUUAAACCCAAUUAACUUUUCCCUGAAUUCCAAACCCCUUACCUACACUUUGUUCUCCUUAUAACAAGGGCCAUUUCAAAAUGGAAUGUAAGACUUUCUGUUAAGAUAUGAACCCACCAUCUUCUCAGAUCACUGGCCAUCUGAACAAAGCACCCAAAAAGAUUCAGUCCCUGUCUCUGCUUAUUGGGUUCGGUAAGUGCCAGGCAGCACAAACGCUGGUUUUUUCCAGUUUCAGUAUCUCCAUACUGCUUUUCAAAGUGGCUGCACCAUUCUGCAUUCCCACCAACAGGGCACCAGGGUUCCAGGUUCCCCGUGGACUCUCCAACACCUGUCCUUUGGACUUUUUGCUGCUGUUUUUGUCUGAUAAUAGCCAUCCUAUCAGGAGUGAGGUGAUACCUCAUUGUGGUUUGGAUACCUCACUGUGGUUUGGUCUAGAUUAGUGAUGCAGAGCAUCUUUUCCUGUGUCUGUUGGCCAAAUCAGGAUCUUGCAGAGACAUUAGCCCUCUUUUGCUUACUGUACCUCCGUUUACAGUAACCACUCAUGAAACAACUGGAACUCCCAUCAACAGGUGAAUGGUUCACCAAUGUGUUGCAUUCAUACAGUGGGACACCACUCAGCUUUUAAAAGGAGGGAAAUCUGCAACGUGCAACAACAAGGAUUAACCUUGAGGACAUUGCGCUAAAUGAAAUGAGCCAGUCCCAGGAGCACAAAUGGCCGUACUAUAUGAGGGGUCAAGACUAUUAUCUGUGGACCUUGGGCAAGACAGUUAACCUCUUGCGUCCUCCAUUUCUCUAUCUGUGAAAUGGAGUAAUAAUAGCACCUACUUCAGAAGUACACAGUGAGAAUUAAAAGACUCCACAGUGCUUGAAAUGAAGUCCAUGAGGAGAAGGCACACAAACAUCGAAUCAUUCUAUUAGCUAUGAUAAGAUUAUGAGAAAAGUGAAAAAAGUCUAGGGCGACCAGAGCAUUGGAGAAUUGAGACUUGGCACUGAGGGUAAAAGUCAGGCAAAUUCUUGACCUGCACAGGCUGCACUAAGCCUCUUCAGGGCUGAGGCUAUCUGACUCACCCCUUAUCUUUAGUGGCUCUAAUUGACUGCUUUGCAUAGCAACAGAAUGCUGAAUAUUUGUGACCUGCAACAGCGAACGUGUGAAGUUACAUUUACUCACGCUCAGCUGAGUCAGGCGGCCUGAAAACCUGUAAGGAGUCCCAGCAGAUGGAGCAGGCUGAGUCUCGCUGGGAAAUCGGCAUCAGAAUUCUUGUUUCUUGCUUGAUGAACUCAUCGGCUGAGUCAGAAACCGUUUCCCCAACCAACGUUCCUGUGGGUCGGAUGGCAAACGCUUAACUUACUUACUUCCAACAAUUUUUUAAAUGAGGGAAAAAAUGUUUUAAAAAUAAAAUAUGUUCAUUUUAGAAAAUCUGGAACAUCCCCAAAAUAUAUAUGACAAUUUAAAUCCCUGUAAUCUC